rnacentral:tRNA from 1 species
GGGCGAAUAGCUCAGUGGGAGAGCGACGGCCUUACAAGCCGUAGGUCACAGGUUCGAAUCCUGUUUCGCCCACCA